AGGGAUGUAGCUCAGUGGUAGAGUGCUUAACCUAGCAUAUGUAAGGCUGUAGGUUUAACUCCCAGCAUCACUA
rnacentral:tRNA from 1 species